GUAGUACUUCCUCCGUUCAAAAUUACUUGUCGCAAAAUGAAUGAAAAUGAAUGUAUCUAGAACUAAAAUACAUCUAAAUACAUCUAUUCCUCCAACAAGUAUUUUCGGACGGAGGGAGUACUUG
rfam:Hordeum vulgare subsp. vulgare, WGS project CAJW01000000 data, contig: morex_contig_135787